GUGGGGAAUCUUAGACAAUGGGCGCAAGCCUGAUCUAGCCAUGCCGCGUGAGCGAUGAAGGCCUUAGGGUUGUAAAGCUCUUUCGCUGGGGAAGAUAAUGACUGUACCCAGUAAAGAAGCCCCGGCUAACUCCGUGCCAGCAGCCGCGGUAAUACGGAGGGGGCUAGCGUUAUUCGGAAUUACUGGGCGUAAAGCGCACGUAGGCGGACCAGAAAGUUGGGGGUGAAAUCCCGGGGCUCAACCUCGGAACUGCCUUCAAAACUCCUGGUCUUGAGUUCGAGAGAGGUGAGUGGAAUUCCGAGUGUAGAGGUGAAAUUCGUAGAUAUUCGGAGGAACACCAGUGGCGAAGGCGGCUCACUGGCUCGAUACUGACGCUGAGGUGCGAAAGCGUGGGGAGCAAACAGGAUUAGAUACCCCGGUAGUCC
rnacentral:rRNA from 1 species